CCAGCGGCCUGGCUACUCUUGUUUCUCACAGUGUGCUGAAGUAUCAUGGGGUUUGUCCCUAGCAGGUCACCCAGAGUCCAACAGGAAGUGAGAGCAGCUCCUUCCUGCUGCAGUAAGAGAUGAACAUUCCCUUUGGAGAGACACACUAGGUCACUACAAAUGGGCCACUGAAGAACCUGGCACUGGCCGCUAUCACUGGCCCCAGCUGCAGUGCUGCUUGCUGUUCACAGAUUAAGACCCUGGGGCUUGGAGACAGCAAGUGACUGUCCCAAGAUCACUCAGCUGAUAAGUGAUGGAGCCAGGAUUCCAGCCUAGACUGUCUGACUGCAAGGGGCUUGAACUUUUCACCGUAACGCAGAUUGUGAAUUCCAUGAAAGCAGGGACUGUGCUUUCUGAGUCUCUAGCCAAGCACCUGCCACAUGGAUACCUCAUGGAAACUUGACAGAACAAAGGAUUUAUUUUUUAUUAGGUUAAAUCUGCUUCUUGGGUACUGUUUGCUUGCUGCCCAUUAAGUCUGGACAUCUCAAUUUGAAAAAAAGGCACUUGGAUUAAUAAAAACAACCUGAAACAGAUCCCUUUAGUGGGGUGACUCUGUAUUAUGUUAAAACGUAAUGUGACAAACACGGCUGCAGCGCCCUCC
rnacentral:lncRNA from 10 species